CCUUCUCAUUAUGUGGAUUGAUUCGGUAGCAAGCACAGCAUAUAACCUGACUAUCACUGAACAAUGAGGACUGUCUGGAGUUUAGUACUCAUGGUGGUGUUUGUAAAAAGUGUUCAUGGUCAGAUACUGACUGAGUCUGGACCAGUGGUUAAAAAGCCUGGAGAAUCACACAAACUGACCUGUACAACCUCUGGGUUCACAUUCAGUAACUUCUGGAUGGCUUGGAUCAGACAGACUCCUGGGAAAGGACUAGAAUUUAUGGCAGCACAUUAUAACAGCAUAAAUAUUGCCUACUCCCAGUCUGUUCAGGGUCGGUUCACCAUCUCUAGAGAUGACAGCAAGCAGCAGGUGUAUCUCCAGAUGAACAGCCUGAAGACUGAAGACUCUGCUGUUUAUUAUUGUGCCAGAGACACAGUGACACAGGAGGCUGCAGCACCGUACAAAAACUGUUCAAACCUGAUCACGGCUGUAACACAACAAAAUGUGGAAUAAGACAAGGGAUAUGAAUAAUAUCUGAGGGCACUGUAAUUGUCAUGGUGAUGUCCAUACACAGUGUUUGUUCUGAUAUCAGACUGGAUCAGUCUCCUUCUCAGGCGAAACGACCUGCAGACACAAUUAAAUUGUCCUGUUCAAUCUUUGUUUAUUCAAUGACUAGAUCUGCAAUUCACUGGAUAAGGC